UACGGAGGGUGCAAGCGUUAUUCGGAAUUACUGGGCGUAAAGCGUGCGCAGGCGGUUUGUUAAGUCCGCUGUGAAAUCCCCGAGCUCAACUUGGGAAUUGCAGUGGAUACUGGCAAGCUGGAGUAUGGUAGAGGAAGGUGGAAUUCCCGGUGUAGCAGUGAAAUGCGUAGAGAUCGGGAAGAACACCAGUGGCGAAGGCGGCCGGCUGGGGGCGCCCUGACGCUGAGGCGCGAGAGCGUGGGGAGCGAACCGG
rnacentral:rRNA from 1 species